rnacentral:rRNA from 1 species
AUAACUACCGGGAAACCGGGGACUAAUACCGGAUAAUACAUGAAACCGCAUGGUUUCAUGAUGAAAGACGGUUUUGCUGUCACUUAUAGAUGGACCCGCGGCGUAUUAGCUAGUUGGUAAGGUAACGGCNUUACCAAGGCAACGAUACGUAGCCGACCUGAGAGGGUGAUCGGGCCACACUGGAACUGAGACACGGUCCAGACUCCUACGGGAGGCAGCAGUA